GCCUAAUACAUGCAAGUCGAGCGAACGGACGAGAAGCUUGCUUCUCUGAUGUUAGCGGCGGACGGUGAGGUAACACGUGGAUAACCUACCUAUAAGACUGGGAUAACUUCGGGAAACCGGAGCUAAUACCGGAUAAUAUUUUGAACCGCAUGGUUCAAAAGUGAAAGACGGUCUUGCUGUCACUUAUAGAUGGAUCCGCGCUGCAUUAGCUAGUUGGUAAGGUAACGGCUUACCAAGGCAACGAUGCAUAGCCGACCUGAGAGGGUGAUCGGCCACACUGGAACUGAGACACGUCCAGACUCCUACGGGAGGCAGCAGUAGGGAAUCUUCCGCAAUGGGCGAAAGCCUGACGGAGCAACGCCGCGUGAGUGAUGAAGGUCUUCGGAUCGUAAAACUCUGUUAUUAGGGAAGAACAUAUGUGUAAGUAACUGUGCACAUCUUGACGGUACCUAAUCAGAAAGCCACGGCUAACUACGUGCCAGCAGCCGCGGUAAUACGUAGGUGGCAAGCGUUAUCCGGAAUUAUUGGGCGUAAAGCGCGCGUAGGCGGUUUUUUAAGUCUGAUGUGAAAGCCCACGCUCAACCGUGGAGGGUCAUUGGAAACUGGAAAACUUGAGUGCAGAAGAGGAAAGUGGAAUUCCAUGUGUAGCGGUGAAAUGCGCAGAGAUAUGGAGGAACACCAGUGGCGAAGGCGACUUUCUGGUCUGUAACUGACGCUGAUGUGCGAAAGCGUGGGGAUCAAACAGGAUUAGAUACCCUGGUAGUCCACGCCGUAAACGAUGAGUGCUAAGUGUUAGGGGUUUCCGCCCCUUAGUGCUGCAGCUAACGCAUUAAGCACUCCGCCUGGGGAGUACGACCGCAAGGUUGAAACUCAAAGGAAUUGACGGGGACCCGCACAAGCGGUGGAGCAUGUGGUUUAAUUCGAAGCAACGCGAAGAACCUUACCAAAUCUUGACAUCCUUUGACAACUCUAGAGAUAGAGCCUUCCCCUUCGGGGGACAAAGUGACAGGUGGUGCAUGGUUGUCGUCAGCUCGUGUCGUGAGAUGUUGGGUUAAGUCCGCAACGAGCGCAACCCUUAAGCUUAGUUGCCAUCAUUAAGUUGGGCACUCUAAGUUGACUGCCGGUGACAAACCGGAGGAAGGUGGGGAUGACGUCAAAUCAUCAUGCCCUUAUGAUUUGGGCUACACACGUGCUACAAUGGACAAUACAAAGGGCAGCGAAACCGCGAGGUCAAGCAAAUCCCAUAAAGUUGUUCUCAGUUCGGAUUGUAGUCUGCAACUCGACUACAUGAAGCUGGAAUCGCUAGUAAUCGUAGAUCAGCAUGCUACGGUGAAUACGUUCCCGGGUCUUGUACACACCGCCCGUCACACCACGAGAGUUUGUAACACCCGAAGCCGGUGGAGUAACCUUUUAGGAGCUAGCCGUCGAAGGUGGGACAAAUGAUUGGGGUGAAGUCGUAACAAGGUAGCCGUAUCGGAAGGUGCGGCUGGAUCACCUCCUUUCU
rnacentral:rRNA from 1 species